UAUCGAUAAAGGCAAACCUAUCGAAAGGUAGGGACGCAAAGUCAUGGGUCUAAGGGACAUAUGUCCUAAGAUUGCCAGACUGCCGAU
rnacentral:ncRNA from 2 species